GAUGAACGCUAGCGGCGUGCCUAAUACAUGCAAGUCGAGCGAACAGACGAGGAGCUUGCUCCUCUGACGUUAGCGGCGGACGGGUGAGUAACACGUGGAUAACCUACCUAUAAGACUGGGAUAACUUCGGGAAACCGGAGCUACUACCGGAUAAUAUAUUGAACCGCAUGGUUCAAUAGUGAAAGACGGUUUUGCUGUCACUUAUAGAUGGAUCCGCGCCGCAUUAGCUAGUUGGUAAGGUAACGGCUUACCAAGGCAACGAUGCGUAGCCGACCUGAGAGGGUGAUCGGCCACACUGGAACUGAGACACGGUCCAGACUCCUACGGGAGGCAGCAGUAGGGAAUCUUCCGCAAUGGGCGAAAGCUUGACGGAGCAACGCCGCGUGAGUGAUGAAGGUCUUCGGAUCGUAAAACUCUGUUAUUAGGGAAGAACAAAUGUGUAAGUAACUAUGCACGUCUUGACGGUACCUAAUCAGAAAGCCACGGCUAACUACGUG
rnacentral:rRNA from 1 species